GGUUGGAUGGCGCAAUGGUAGCGCGUUACUUUCCGGUCCUUUGGAACGUGGUAAAGGUUCUGGGUUCGAAUCCCAGUCUGAUCG
rfam:Chaetomium globosum CBS 148.51 scaffold_1 genomic scaffold, whole genome shotgun sequence.